CAGCAGCCACGGUAAUACGAAGGUCCCGAGCGUUGUUCGGAAUCACUGGGCGUAAAGGGAGCGUAGGCGGCGUGGUAAGUCAGAUGUGAAAUCCCGGGGCUCAACCCCGGAACUGCAUCCGAUACUGCCGUGCUAGAGGAUUGGAGAGGUAGCUGGAAUUCUUGGUGUAGCAGUGAAAUGCGUGGAGAUCAAGAGGAACACUCGUGGCGAAAGCGAGCUACUGGACAAUAUCUGACGCUGAGGCUCGAAGGCCAGGGUAGCGAAAGGGAUUAGAGACCCCGGUAGUCCCUGUCUCUUAUAC
rnacentral:rRNA from 1 species